rnacentral:rRNA from 1 species
GGGCUUGACAUCCCACGAACCUGCCCGAAAAGGUGGGGUGCCCGCAAGGGAGCGUGGAGACAGGUGGUGCAUGGCUGUCGUCAGCUCGUGUCGUGAGAUGUUGGGUUAAGUCCCGCAACGAGCGCAACCCUCACCCCUAGUUGCCACCGGGUUAAGCCGAGCACUCAAGGGGAACUGCCAGCGUCAAGCUGGAGGAAGGCGGGGAUGACGUCAAGUCAUCAUGCCCCUUACGCCCUGGGCUACACACGUGCUACAAUGGCUAGUACAAAGGGACGCGAGACUGCGAAGUGGAGCUAAUCCCAAAAAGCUGGUCUAAGUUCAGAUUGCAGUCUGCAACUCGACUGCAUGAAGGAGGAAUCGCUAGUAAUCGCGCAUCAGCCCGGCGCGGUGAAUACGUUCCCGGGCCUUGUACACACCGCCCGUCACACCACGAAAGCUGUCUGUACUCGAAGUCGCUGAG